rnacentral:rRNA from 1 species
UGGGGAAUUUUGCACAAUGGGGGAAACCCUGAUGCAGCGACGCCGCGUGAUUUAGAAGGCCUUCGGGUUGUAAAAAUCUUUUCUAUGGGAAGAAUAUGACAGUACCAUAGGAAUAAGGACCGGCUAAUUACGUGCCAGCAGCCGCGGUAAUACGUAAGGUCCGAGCGUUGUCCGGAAUCAUUGGGCGUAAAGGGUACGUAGGCGGGUAAGCAAGUUAGAAGUGAAAUCCUAUAGCUCAACUAUAGUAAGCUUUUAAAACUGCUCAUCUUGAGGUAUGGAAGGGAAAGUGGAAUUCCUAGUGUAGCGGUGAAAUGCGCAGAUAUUAGGAGGAAUACCGGUGGCGAAGGCGACUUUCUGGCCAUAACCUGACGCUGAGGUACGAAAGCGUGGGUAGCAAACAGG